rnacentral:rRNA from 1 species
GACGAACCGUACGAACGUUAUUCGGAAUCACUGGGCUUAAAGGGUGCGUAGGCUGCGCGGAAAGUUGGGUGUAAAAUCCCUCGGCUCAACCGAGGAACUGCGCCCAAAACUGCCGUGCUCGAGGGAGACAGAGGUGAGCGGAACUUAGGGUGGAGCGGUGAAAUGCGUUGAUAUCCUAAGGAACACCGGUGGCGAAAGCGGCUCACUGGGUCUCUUCUGACGCUGAGGCACGAAAGCUAGGGUAGCGAACGGGG